rnacentral:rRNA from 1 species
UACGUAGGGUGCGAGCGUUAUUCGGAAUUACUGGGCGUAAAGCGUGCGCAGGCGGUUUUGAAAGACAGGCGUGAAAUCCCCGGGCUCAACCUGGGAACUGCGCUUGUGACUUCAAGACUAGAGUACGGCAGAGGGGGGUAGAAUUCCACGUGUAGCAGUGAAAUGCGUAGAGAUGUGGAGGAAUACCGAUGGCGAAGGCAGCCCCCUGGGCCAGUACUGACGCUCAUGCACGAAAGCGUGGGGAGCGAACAGG